rnacentral:rRNA from 1 species
GACGAACUGUCCUAACGUUGUUCGGAAUCACUGGGCUUAAAGGGCGCGUAGGCGGUCCGAUAAGUCAGGGGUGAAAUCCUGCAGCUUAACUGCAGAAGUGCCUCUGAUACUGUCGGUCUGGAGGGAGAUAGGGGUGUGCGGAACUUCCAGUGGAGCGGUGAAAUGCGUUGAUAUUGGAAGGAACGCCGGAGGCGAAAGCGGCGCACUGGAUCUCUUCUGACGCUGAGGCGCGAAAGCUAGGGGAGCAAACGGG